rnacentral:lncRNA from 1 species
UAUAUAUAGAGAGAGAGAGAGAGAGAGAGAGAGAGAGAGAGAGAGAGAGAGAAUUAGGCUGGAAUACUAUUAAUAGUAAAACGCUCUUUUUGCUAUCAAGUUUUUAACCCUUGAAUGAAAAAUUGUAAGGUCAGGAUGAUAUUAAUCAGUUAGAGUUGAGUGGUCCCCCUAGGGUUGAGUGGUCCCCACUGGGUUAUAGUAUUUAAUCCAAUGGCUAAAAAUAAUGAAAAGAGUUGAUCUAAAGUCUAAAAAACUGAUAGCAACAAUGGGAUUUUGCUACUAAUAGUAGCCCAGUCCAACUCUCUCUCUCUCUCUCUCUCUCUCUUUCUGUGAGACCCCAAAUAAUCCUAUAUAUGAGAUAUAAUAAGACUAAACUCUUAAUCCGGCUUAAGCAUUUUAGGUGGUGGUAAGGCCCAAGAGGUUAAGAGAGUUAAGCGUGCUAGGACGAAAGUAGUCCUAGGAUGGGUGAACCCCCUGGGAAGUUGGGGCGUCACAGUUGGUAUCAGAGCCAAUUACCAGCCGAAAGUGUGAGAUGAAUCUCGGCUGAGCGAGGGUCAAGAUGAUAGGCUAGCGAGACGAGUCUCACAUCGCCUGGUACUUGUGAGUCUGAGCCUGACGAGGACGUCAGGGUUUAAAGGAGGGGAGAUUGUGAGACCCCAGAUAGUCCUAUAUAUGAGAUAUAAUAGGACUAAACUCUUAACCCGGCUUAAGCACUUUGGGUGGUGGCAAGGCCCAAGAGGUUAAGAGAGUUAAGCGUGCUAGGACGAGAGUAGUCCU